rnacentral:rRNA from 1 species
UACAGAGGUCCCAAGCGUUGUUCGGAUUCACUGGGCGUAAAGGGUGCGUAGGCGGUCGGGUAAGUCUGACGUGAAAUCUUCAAGCUCAACUUGGAAACUGCGUCGGAUACUAUUCGGCUGGAGGAAUGGAGGGGAGACUGGAAUACUUGGUGUAGCAGUGAAAUGCGUAGAUAUCAAGUGGAACACCAGUGGCGAAGGCGAGUCUCUGGACAUUUCCUGACGCUGAGGCACGAAAGCCAGGGGAGCAAACGGG